GUGGUUUACACGUAGUGUAAUUAAAAGGGAAUCCGGUGCAAAUCCGGGACAGACCCGCUGCUGUAAGUCCUUAUAUUUUUCUGCAAUAUGUCACUGGCUUGAGCUGGGAAGGCGCAGAAAAAGGGAUAAGUCAGAAUACCUGCCUCUUUUU
rnacentral:ncRNA from 1 species